CUAACAAAUAUAAAGAAAAAAGGCAUUUUCUCCGGCUUACACUGAAUUGACCAUGCUAGCCCUCCACUUUUUUUUGGGGGUAUUUUCUUUUGCCUCUGUUUGUAGGUAGGAGUCUUUCUAUAGUCACUUGCACAUAGCCAGCGAGGAAAAAGAUAAGGUGCAAACAACUGACAGCAUCCGAAGAAUGUAAUCAGACAAAAGAGAAAUCAUGAUACAGUUCCUUCAGGAAGAAAUCCCGUGAAAGUCCAGAUUCUAGUAUAUAUUGACGCUUCAGUGGAGUGCAACCCAGCCUCUAUCUUCAGACCCCGCAAAAGUCCAACACUUAUCAACCAUGCUCAACGCCGGGUAUUGAUGCAAGCACAAAAUGAGAAAGUUUGAGGCAGUUGAAGCUCUCACAAACAUUGCAUCUAGAACAUAUCCAUAUGGUGGAGAGAAGGUUGGAAUCGGUAGUUCUUCAGGGGAAUUGAGUUUGAGGGAACUAGAAUUUCCUACACUGUUUUUACUCUGAAGAUUCAUGAUGGCUCAUUGGGUUCCACACAUGCUCCUGCCACUGACAUCGAUUCUAAUGUAUAGAUAGACAAUGGCAUGGGUUUGAAUGAGUUUUUGGAAUUUCAUGGUUACUCUCCGAUGAUCGUUACAGAAAGGCUAUGUCCUUGGUGGAUCACUAGGUAGAGAGGUUGCAAUGUUGACUACUCUUCAGUAGGUUCCCAAAAGCUGUAACGAGGAACCCAAAUUUACAUGUGGAAGUGGUUGAUGAGGAAGGUUGCUUUCAGUUUGGGCCUCUGUACACGUAUCGUGGUUAGUUUCUAUGUUGGUGUUGUACUCUUCAUCCUGCAAGGCACUACAUUUUACGGCAGAUGAAAUUGAUGUAUUGACUGAUUAACCAGUUAAUCUGGGGUCAUUUGUAGGCCGAGCCUUUUAAUAUUGUUACAUUUCAACUUCAUUGUAAUCUUUAGAUGAGAUUUUCCUGUAAAAUAAAUACUAGAACUAGAGUUAGCU